CUCGUUCGUUCCUUUUCAAACUCCCCGACGGUAGAUGGCGCUGAUGGCUUGCUGCACCCCCAAGUUAGCGACAGGGGAAGAGAAACCCUGAAAGACAAUGAGAGAAACUACCACCUCAAGUCUAAUGAUGAAUCUGAGACUAGUCCAACGAAAAGGACUCCGUGUGGAUGAAGAAUUUUUCUCAUCUGUUUGACCAAACAGCAGGCUGCCCCUAUCAACGGAUUUGGGCCUCCGCACAACCUACCAGAAUGCAGGGUACAACAUCAAAUGAAUUCCAAUUCUCUGAGAUCUGAGGCACCAACUUGUGUGGCUGCAUGCGCGGCAUAAUUUUGAUCACUCCUGACAAAAUCUCACUCCAAGGUUUUUUGAAAAGUUGGCAGGUA